AAACAAAACCACAAACCAUUAUUUGUAAGCAAAGUUUGGAAAAAUCACAAACAACAACAAUUAGCUAGAUUAUAAGCUUACAACAGGAGGUUGGUUAGUACCAUUAAGAUUUUGGGCUUUACUAAAACAGCAGUGUUUUUCCUGUGCUUUAGUAAAUGCCUAGGAUUGAAGUUAGCAGGUUAAAGGUUAUGCAUUUUCUUCCGUGUGCUGCCAAAUUGUUCUCCAGAAUAGUUGUAUAUAUGGUUCAGUUUACACCCCCACCCCCCCGAGUAUUGGAGUGCUGUGCUAUUUCUUGGCACUGAAAGUUGUGAUUUUCAAAAAUCUUUGUCUUUAUUUAAAAAUUAACCAUGCUUGUUAGUAUGCUUGUUACAGUGAUUCAAUUCAGUAAAUAUUUCUUGUCUGUUAGUGGUAAUACCAAGUUACCCAGACUUCUGGUAUUAUCUUUGAUUUUUCCUUAGUUUUCCUUGGAUUCUCUUGAGGUCACUUAUAUUUUAAUCUUAUAACUGUAUUGUCUGUACUCUUCAUUUCUUGCUCUCCUUUCUUGUUUCAAAAAGUUUUUAUUUGCAUAUUAAAAAAUUGUGCAUACCAAUAAUUAAAAGGAUUUUAACCAAAAGAAAAUGGCACUCUGGUUACUCUGCAUUCUACAGCCUGCAGGACAUCUUGGACCAGCUUGAUUUUUACUCUGGAAUUCACUGUUGUCCCACCGAGUUUCUUCCUUCACCAACACAUGAGUGCUGUUCCUUCCCUGCCAGCCAGACAGGCAGAUGGAGAGGCAGGUGCCUGCUCCUUGGUCAGUAGUUCUCUGAUGGGAAAAGGGGCAGCUCAGUCACUUAAACUUGAUGGAACCUCUUUGCAUUUUACAAAGUUAAGCAGUUAAAAGAAGAAUGCAAUACUUGUGGAAUGUAUAGUGCAUACUGAUGCCAAAUCAGGUUUGUCAGACGUGAUUGCAAAAGAAGUGGAGUGAGGCCGAGGACGAGAGGAGUCAGACCUGCUCAGUGGCUGCUGCCGAGCCUUGGUCUCUUUCCUGAAAGGCCUCAUGUGACUGACUGGCCUUACAGAUUCCCUUUUGUCCUUGACCAUCACACACAGUGCUGCUGAAUAAAUAAUCAUAUUCAUAUUAAAAGGACAAUUGUAGUCCUAGAAUGCAAAAACCUGUUGGAAAUUCUCUCUACACAAAAUCAAACUUUAUAGCUUGACUUUUAAGAUCCUCUUUACCUUUUGCUUUUAGUUGCCAAGAGAUGGCUGUAGGUACCGUUUUCAAGUUUGGUUUAAGGGUAGUCUUUGAAACAAUUAAAACCAAGAUUUUUUUCCUUUGGCUAUAAGAAAACCCCUGUUUUAAAUUUUGUGCAGAUGUGCCUGAACUUCAGUUUUGUUUCGAACGACCUCAUUGGCAAGGGGGAGAAUUUCCCCCUCUACUCUGCUUUAGUUUUUUUCUAGACUAAUUAGUUCUGGACUAAUAAUAAAGCUAAAAAUAAAACAGGACAAGCUACAUAGAAAAACUGAUUUAAUACAUGUGCAUGGGAGAAAUCACAAUAUGAUGCUCAGAUCAUAAAAUGAAGCUCAAAGAAGUGAUUGAACCAGCACCUUUUAAUAUUUUUUAGACAAACAAUUUGUGAAGAAUUCACAGGACAGAAAGUUAGUGCUCCUGAGAAAGGAAUCUAAGCAAGGUUUGGGUAUUAGUGAGGAGCCUGAACAAAGUUUGGACUUGGGUAGUAAAUUAAUAAAGUGUUUAUAGAAGCUCUUUGGCUCUGGAUCUCUUAGCUGUAGUGAUAAGGGUGUCUCUCAGCCCUCCUGGAGCAGGGAGGACACCUUUCACAGGGGAGAUUUAUUUCCUGCACUUAAGGAGACAGUGGAGGGUCAAGGUGCUCUUCUGUCACUGGCUGCUUGUCAAGUAACCUUAAUUCAAAGUAAUCAAUAUGCCAUUAGGGGACAUUUUGGGGUGGCCUGUCUCAAGCCCAGCAUCCUCUUCAGGAGAAAGAAGUAAUAGCUGUUCUUUGAUGGUGACUGAUGUGAGAAAUUCAGGCUGUGGACCUUACCUCCCAGAAUCUAUGAAACUGGAAUAAAGCCUGCUAGGAAUCAUGCAUCCUGCCCUGACCUCUUCAACUGGUCAGCAACUGGUGUAGUUUGGGGUUUGUCAUUUUAUUUCAGACUUUUAAGAAUCUUCGGAGUGGAUUUAGUCUUUAUUUUUAGCAAGGAUAAUGAUGUUUAUAAGG